CCAACUUCGGCGCCAUCUCAUGGCACCUCGACGACGGUGAGGCAUCCGAUCUGGCGCGCACCCAAAUGAGGUGGCGGCAGAUCAACAUCGAUGGUGUGGUUUGCAUCUGGUCAUCAGGAGAGGCGAGGAGACGCGGAUCCAGAAGGCAGGCCAUGGCGGCGGCCAGAUCCAUGCCGGGACAGGAUCUGCGUCUGGAGAACCAUACCAUGGAGGGAGGAGACCCACGCCAUGGAGCUGCUCGUCAAGGAGAGGCCCGACCCAUUCCUUUCCCUUUCCUAGUGAGUGCUCGUCAAGGUCUUUGAUUUCCUUUCCUGAUGCGAGUUCAUUUGAUAUGUUAUUCUUCCUCUUCCUCAUGCAGGUGCACACACAUGUGGGUCAACAAGGGGCAAGACCGACAGACCAGCAGCACCAUGCACACAUUCAAGACUAGUAGCUGUCGAUGCCUUGGAAGGUCCACUCCAAAUUUCUCAACUCUCUGUUUGGUCCCGUCUGGUCCUAGGCUACAUCAGUUUUGUGAUGGAAACCACAUAAUUAAGAACUUCUGCUUGUCGAGAUUUCGGUUUUGUGAUGCUUUUGUGUGUGUUUUCUGUUGGCAAAAUCAGAAACUGACGUUGUAACCAUGAUUUGGCAGAUGGACAUGCAGAUGUGGAAUAGCACCACCCUAGUAUGGUUGUAACUCCAGCGACUCAGCGGGAUAUACGAUGCUGUUUCACUCCCCCAUCAUGUGAUUGGCAGCUCACAGGAGCCAUCUAACUUCUUGUAAGAUGAUGAAGGUAUUCAAGUACUCCGGGUUCCUCUUUUUUUUGCGUCUUGGUGGAAGCCAUUCGGUACCAUAGAAGACGCUGAAGCUAUCGCUGUGCUUGUUCUUUUUUUCGGUUGUUCCUAUAGUUGACCUUAUGUGCGUGUUUCUGUACGGGUAGUCGGGUUACUUGUGAGUCUAUGAUGGUUUUCUCUUGUGCAAAGACGCCAUUUAAUUACAUUGUUGUGCAGAUAGUGUAUUCCCAAAUCAGUCACACUUUUGUAUAUAUCCAAUUAUUUACGUAACUGAAUCUUUGUGCAUGACUAUGAUACUCAAACCCAUAUUUGGCUACCACUGUAUAGUUUCUAUCUGAUUAAUCACAUAUCAAUUAGCUUUGAUGGUAUUCAUUAUGUGCCCGUUGUUGAGAUGUAUGUAAUCUUGAUGAGAAUUCAGGUCCAGUCUGUUACAUGUUUUAGAAAUACAGUAGAAAACAUGAAAGAAAUUGGGGGAAAAAUAAUCCGGGUGUCGGGUUCCUUUCACGUAAUUCAACGAACAUCCUGUUAUGCAAUCUUUGUUUUUUCCUUGCUAUGUAGUAUAUGAGAGGGAAAGUAGUGGCUGUAGAAAAACUGUACUGUUGAUAUGAGAUAUUAUUGGGGCAUAAUACAAUCAAAUUUUUUGUAUUAAUCAGCAACGUACAUAAAUAUAACGAUGUUUUAAUGGCAAUUAUUUUUCUCUUCAUAUUAGGAUUAAAAAUAUGCAGACACGUAAUAGCAAUCUACAACUCUAGAGAGUCAUGUUAAUCCUUUUUAUACAGGAGUAAGUGGGCAUGUACAGGAGUCGAGGGGGAUUUUCUUUCCUAAUUUCUUAUUUUGAGGAAGAGUUGCCGCUCCUUUUAUACGUGAUUGUUUUCCCUUUCAAUUGACAUCAAAUGAAUCUGUUUUUUUUUAUUAUCGGUGUAGGUUUUAUGUAAGGAAGCUACCUUUUUGUUAUAUAGCUAGCGAACCCAUGGAUGAUUUCCUUCUUCACUUUCACAAACUGUACGUGUGGGUCUUUUUUUGGCCGGGCCAUCUAUAUCGUAGAAGUUUCAG
rnacentral:lncRNA from 1 species